GGACUUUGGCUAGAGUGGGGGCUGGAAAAUUCCUUAUAGAUCAUCUGGAACCCCCCCCCCCAACCUUGUCACUGUGCAUGGGGAACCCUGAAGCCCAGAGAGGGUGAGGAGUAGCCCAAGGUCACACAGAGAACCAGUGAGUGAUUUGUCUCAACUAGGAGAAGGUCUAGGGGUCCUCAGUCUGCCCUAGAAUGGUUUUUAUCGCAGGGCUAGAGAGGUUGGGGGACCCUAAGCUGGGGUCCACAGAUUCACAUCAUUGCAGCCAAAAUUGCUACAACUCUGCCCAAGUUCCUCAUUCUCAUGUUUAAGCUGCAGGGGGACUGGGGUCCUGCCUGUAGCCAAGGGUGGGACACGAAUCUUUUGGCCUCAGUCAGGUAAGUUUGGAGCAGCCUUCCUGCUUGGGAGCCCCCUUUCCCAACUUCCCCUCAACAGGCAACGCCAAGCAAUUCUGAACUCUUUGGCUUUCCAGAAAGACAGAUGGUUAGGAGGGCAUGACUAGGGCACCUUGAGACAUUGUGCUUCGGAAUAGCCAACGGGGACCCGGGGGGCCAGGGGCGGGCCCUAGGAUGGCUACCCCUGGGAAGCAGCAUCUCUCCCCCCUCCGCCCCCACCCCGGGGUCACAGCCCGCCUUGAAGACCCACCUGGAAGUAAUGAGACAAGGGGAGCUGGAGUUUGGAGACAGAGGUCUGAGGAGCUAGGGCUUGUCUUUAGCCCGUCCUGGAGGUCGCUCCAUCUGUCCCCUCUCUUCCCUCCCUCAGAAGCCACGGGGGACCUCUGCUCAUUUCAUUCUGCUCAGGGGUCUUUACCCACCCCACAGGACUCAAACCUCAGGCCAUCUCAGGGGGUUUAGGGUCCAGCUCUUAGCUCCCUUCCAAUUGGGCAACCCAGGGCAAGUUAGUGAACCCGUGUGGGCCUCAGUUUCUUCAUCUGUAAAAUGUAGCCAUUAACACCUACCCCACAGGCCCCGUAUAAGGUUUGUGAACACAUUCUAAGAAUGUUCUCCCUGCCUGGGCAGGCAGAGGUGGGGCUUCUCACCCUACUCCUUUUGUAUACCUUAGGAAGGGUUUGAGGGUAAGUUAAUGGGUCCUGCUUUAUCCCAUUUCUGGAAGAGAUGGUCUGUGAUCUGGCUUUUGAAGUACGAAUAGAAGUUUGUCACCUGAACACAGUACAAAGGAGAUUCCGGGGAAAAUGAAAGCAUAUGAAAGAUAGAGACUGUAUGAUACGCAGGUGCACAUAGGUGACUGGCAAGCAGUUCAAGAUGAUGCCAGGUAGGCCAGGAGAUGAGGUUGGGGAGGUUGGCAGAGCACAGAUGUGGGUAUCUCUGGGUCAUUCUAAGGGGUCUGUGUGUAUGUGACAUUUAGGAGGCACCUUGCACCUGCUGCCCUUCAUGUUCCUGCUUUCCUGCCACUGGGUCACUGGAAAUAAUAGCUGAGGCCGCCGCGAUGCCGCACUUCCUGGACUGGUUCGUGCCCGUGUACCUGGUCAUCUCCGUGCUCAUCCUGGUGGGCUUCGGCGCCUGCAUUUACUACUUCGAGCCUGGCCUGCAGGAGGCGCACAAGUGGCGCAUGCAGCGCCCCCUGGUGGACCGUGACCUCCGCAAGACCCUGAUGGUCCGCGACAACUUGGCCUUCGGAGGCCCAGAGGUCUGAGCCGACCGGCGCCGGGCACCGGGCGCCCUCCCCCGCCUCGCCCAGCCUGGAGACCCCGAGGCAGAGAGAGGACAACGUCUGCUCCUCCAGGCCACCCCUCUGGAGCUGCGCCCUCCCGGCAGAAGCUUCUGGGUGCCCCGGGUGGACACUGGCUGCACCUGGUGAGAUAGGGGCACCUGGGUAUCUUGAGGUGUCACUGCUGCUGGCCCGGGGCUUGCUUUCCACCUCAAGCCAGUUCUCUCCACACCUGCCCUCCCCAGCUCUGGGUUUAUCCCCCGCUGGCCUCCAGUGCCUUUGUGCUGCCCAGCACUCUCGCCCCUCGCCUGGAGUCAGGCACCGCUGCCCCUGCCUGUCCUAAGUGUCUAGAUUCCCACUUCCCAAUGAAUCCCUGGUGACACUCAACGGCCCGCUCCACCCGAGGAGGCAACCUCCCUGCAGCCUCACACGGCAGGCUUCAAAGCUGACCCAAGGGAAAGGCCCUAUUUGGAGGGGUGUCUGCUCCUUCCAGUUCAGCCCCACCCCUCUGGACUCAGACUUGGCAAUGGUGAGCGUGUGUGAUGGGGUAUGCAGAGGGGUGAGACCACAGAGGAUGGAGGGGUGUGUGUGUGUGAAAGAGAGAGAGACAGAGAGACCAGAGAGAGAGUCUGGGAGGGGGGACUGGGGAGGGGGACAGGCAGGUGUGUAUGUGUAAGAGGGAGAGCGGAGGCCCCAAGCAGGGCGGGAGGUGGCGGGGACAGGGCGAGCCUGUGAUAGGCUGCCCACAGUGGUUCUCACCUCCCUCCCUGUGCCAGGCUUCCCUACUCUCUCCUUCCCCAAGGCCCCUGCCCUGUACUGCAGCCCCCAGCACCAUCCCCCUGCCCACCCAACCCCACCAGGGAGCCCUCCUCCUUUGUGGAACACUGUUGCCUCAUUGGGGAUGUCGAGUAGCAGCCUGUCUCACUCUCCUCCUCUGGGGCUUCCCUCUUAGUUUCUUGCAAUAAUAAAGACUUCAUGACUA